rnacentral:rRNA from 1 species
CCUACGGGAGACAGCAGUGAGGAAUAUUGGUCAAUGGACGCAAGUCUGAACCAGCCAUGCCGCGUGCAGGAUGACGGCUCUAUGAGUUGUAAACUUCUUUUGUACGAGGGUAAACCCCGACACGUGUGUCGGGUUGAAAGUAUCUUACGAAUAAGGAUCGGCUAACUCCGUGCCAGCAGCCGCGGUAAUACGGAGGAUCCGAGCGUUAUCCGGAUUUAUUGGGUUUAAAGGGUGCGUAGGCGGUUUGAUAAGUCAGUGGUGAAAUGUCGGGGCUCAACCCCGAAAGUGCCUCUGAUACUGUCGGACUAGAGAAUAGUUGCGGUAGGCGGAAUGUAUGGUGUAGUGGUGAAAUGCUUAGAGAUCAUACAGAACACCGAUUGCGAAGGCAGCUUACCAAACUAUAUCUGACGUUGAGGCACGAAAGCGUGGGUAGCAAACAGGAUUAGAUACCCGGGUAGUC